rnacentral:rRNA from 1 species
GCCUACGGGGGGCAGCAGUAGGGAAUCUUCCACAAUGGGCGAAAGCCUGAUGGAGCAACGCCGCGUGGGUGAAGAAGGUCUUCGGAUCGUAAAACCCUGUUGUUAGAGAAGAAAGUGCGUGAGAGUAACUGUUCACGUUUCGACGGUAUCUAACCAGAAAGCCACGGCUAACUACGUGCCAGCAGCCGCGGUAAUACGUAGGUGGCAAGCGUUAUCCGGAUUUAUUGGGCGUAAGGGAACGCAGGCGGUCUUUUAAGUCUGAUGUGAAAGCCUUCGGCUUAACCGGAGUAGUGCAUUGGAAACUG